CGGAGGUUCUCAGGUCAACAACUACACUACCCAGAAUGCACCACCUGCUGACAUCACGCACUCACCUGAUCACGUGACACCUCACCUGCUUCCUCCAGGAAGUCCCGAAUACUGAUUACUGGCACUAUAAAGGUGCACGCCACACAAACACCCACGCCGCAUAUUGUAGGUUCUCCUCAUUACAAAGCGUUCUUUAUCUCUUGUCUUCAGUUUAUCUUGUGUAUGACCUUGCUUUUUUUUUUCUUGACGCCGAUUAUUGCCUUUGCCUCUGAUACUGGAUUGUUUGUGUAUUACCUGGACUGUGUUUUCACUACUGCCUCUUGGAUUACCUCUGACAUUGGAUCUCUCGUGUAUGAACUCUGGACUGUCUCUCGUUUAUGGUCUGGGUUGUGUCGAUGCAAGGCAUCUCAACGCAGUUCUCCAGACGACCACUCUGUCCGCAGGUGCACACCUCGUAACAGCCUGCUUGACCGCUGCGCACAGGGACUUGGAUUCGCGCCUCCAUAUGCACCAGGAACUCCGACGCCUCACCCAGUUUGCAGCCUACCACAAGAGAGAUUUACCAUUAAAACCAAAAUAUACAAAUAUUUGUAUGGAUCAUGGAUCAACUCCAAAUUAUAUGUGUUAUACACAGAAAAAUGGGUACUUUAAAUUUACAUGAUUAAAAUGUGUUACACACAUAAAACAUUACAUCAGUAUCAUUUAUUAGGAGUGCUGUUCACAUUUUUCCUUUUUCUGACUGCUGUCACACCUAGCCACCCUUCCACGGUUCAGAGAUCACCCUCCCCCGACUGUUAAGGCUAACUUCACCCUCACUCACACCUGACCUGGAUCUUUUCUUAAUAAAUGGCUCUAUAUUCACCUGGA